rnacentral:lncRNA from 1 species
ACGGUGCGUUUCGUUUCACCGGCGCCGGAAACAAUGAGGAAGGAGAUUCUGCCGCCGGUGUCCACCACCACCGUCUGUUUAGAGAAUAAGCCACUGGUCGCUACAUUGCUAGCUCUCUCCCUCGUCAUGAUCAUCUGGAACCUUCCACCUUACUACCACAACCUCAUCUCCACCGCUCCUCCCUGCUCCGCCUCUCCCACCACCACCGCCACCACCAUACUCUCCUCCUCCUCCUCAUUUUCUCCACCUGAGAAUUUCGCCACCUCUCUCUCCGCCACGCCGGCAACUUCUCCUCCGUCAGAUCCGAACAAACGCGUUUUCCAACCGUUCGGAAACGCGGCGGCGCUGUUCGUCCUCAUGGGAGCUUACCGCGGCGGUCCAUCAUCCUUCUCCGUCGUCGGACUCGCCUCAAAGCCAAUCCACACCUUCGGGAAGCCAUGGUUCAAGUGCGAGUACCUAUCCAACAACGGAACCACAACACGAGCCACCAAAGCCGUGAAGAUCCUCCCGGACUGGGGCUACGGACGAGUCUACACCGUCGUGGUCGUCAACUGCACGUUCCACUCGAACCCCAACUCCGAUAACUCCGGAGGUAAACUCAUCCUCAACGCCUACUACAACGAACCUCCCACACUCUUCGAGAGGUUCACGGCCCUCGAGGAGGGCGCAGGGUCUUACAACGAGUCGAGAUUCUCGCCGCCGUAUCCGUACGAGUACCUCUACUGCGGCUCGUCGCUGUACGGGAACGUGAGCUCGUCGCGUAUGAGGGAGUGGAUGGCUUACCACGCUUGGUUCUUUGGUGAUAAAUCGCAUUUUGUCUUUCACGAUGCCGGUGGUGUUUCGCCGGAGGUUAGGGAGGUUCUUGAGCCGUGGAUUCGAGCAGGGAGGGUCACGGUUCAGGACAUUAGGGACCAGGCUCGGUACGAUGGUUAUUACUAUAAUCAGUUUUUGAUUGUGAAUGAUUGUUUGCAUCGGUAUCGUCACGCUGCGGAGUGGACGUUUUUCUUUGAUGUUGAUGAGUAUAUUUAUUUGCCUGAUGGGAAUACGCUUGAAUCGGUUCUUGCUGAGUUUUCGGAUUAUACUCAGUUCACUAUUGAGCAGAACCCAAUGUCUAGUGUUCUUUGCUUGAACGAUUCAACUCAAGAUUAUCCCAGGUAUUGCUUCCUCAGUCUCCUUUGUAAUGCAAUUGAAUUCAAAGAAGUCAAUUGUUAUUGUUAGUACUUGGUAGAACCGAGCAUUCAUUCGUUUUUUGGUUUGAUUGUUUUAGUUUUCGGUUCUUUGUUAAAUAGAAAUUAGAAGAUAUCGGAACUGUCAAAGUAUUUUAUAAAAUUGGGUCGGGUUUGGUUCUUUAGUUCUGGUAAAAACAUUAACAACAACUAAUACCUGAAAAGUUGCUCAAAAAAGAAAAAAAAACUGAAAAAAUGAAAUUCAGUUUGGAUGUUAGACAAUUUGGAUUGUUUGAAAUAAAAUACUGGAUAAUUCGGACUAAUUCAUAUAAUUUGGAUAUAAAUAUUCGGAUACAAACAUAAAUUUUGAUAAUUCCUAGACUGUAGUUAUUUUAAAAUUAAAGAUAAUAGAUAUAUUAGUUGUAUUUCGGGUAUUAUAAUCCGAUUCGGUUUAGUAAUUUUAGUAUAGAGAAACAUGAACCAUUUAGAUGGUUUUCUGUUCGGUUCUUUGGAAUUUGGAACGCCUAAGCGUAAUUGUAGGAUAGAACCUUGGAAAUUAGCUUUUAAUUUGAUCAGUGAUGUUUCUGAAAAGAAAAACACUUGUUUUCUUGUUUGGUGUGUAUUUGUUAUCAGGCAAUGGGGAUUUGAGAAGCUACUAUUCAGAGAAUCAAGAACAAACAUACGACGUGACAGGAAAUAUGCGAUCCAGGCCAAGAACGCUUUUGCGACAGGAGUUCACAUGUCUGAAAACGUAGUAGGCAAAACGCUACACAAGACAGAGACAAAGAUCCGUUAUUACCAUUACCACAACACCAUAACAGUGCACGAGGAGCUUUGCAGAGAGAUGUUACCUGUUUCGGCCAAGAAGAAGGUGACAUUGUACAAGAAGCUUCCAUUUGUGUAUGACGAUAACAUGAAGAAGCUAGUGAACACGAUUAAAGAGUUUGAGCAGAAAAAACUUGGGACCAAAGAUGUGAAGCAUUUCUCAUGACAAGAGAUAACAACCUAAUCCCUCUGAUAAUCAUUUUGUUUAUAAAGGUACAGUAGUUGUUUCCGUUUAGUUGUAUCAUCUGUUUUGUCCUCUUCUACUAUUUCAUUAAAAACAGAAUUUGAAUAUCGUUCUAGUUAAUUGAAAAUUUGAACUUAGCUACCCAUAGACUCAAAGAGACUGUUUUGUCGUUUACCAGCUUUAUAACCACAGAAAAUUUGAAGGAUUGAUUCAUGUUGUGUUUAUCUUUUUUGUGACAAAUUCGUUUAAACUCAUGAUGCUUAAGGUUUACCAAAGAACUUGCAACGCAUAGAGCGUAUGGAUACAAAGUAAGAAAAGCUUCACUAGUCUUAGAUUAACGAAAGUUUCACACACACAUAACAAACUGAAUCAAUCCAAGAACGCAAAUCAGAACAAACCAAACCCAUCUAACAAACUCAUAGAACAUCCAUGACAAGGACACUAAAGCAUAUAUCUCCAACAGUCUUCUGUCCAAAUACACAAUAAGAAGAGACAUAAAUCUUCGACUGUACCCACAAACAAACAACACAGAGGUCUACUGUAUAAAACGAUGAUCAUAUGUACUAUCAAAACAUAGUUUCCCAAAUCCUUGUGGUAGAAUACAACCAUACCAGUAGAAUAAACCCAAACAAAAGCAAUACAAGGAGGAUCUGAAAAGAUACAAGUCUAUACAUCUCACAAACUUUAAACGGUAAACAAAUCAUUCAAAUUCAACCUUUUAUAUGUUUCUAUAAGGAACCAAAUCCAGCAAACUUCAAAAAUAGAACAAAGAUUAAAGGAAUAAAUGUAACAAGAAAGUUGAAGUCAAAACGAAGUUUCAGACUCCAUCAUUUUUAUUCGAUUGUGUGUAACAGUGUAAGUAACAGCUUAUAGUUUUGUCUAUACAAAGACUCUUUUAGCGAACGAAAAAACUUGACAAAACCCGUAGAAGCUAACUCACACCGAAGAAGAUGUCCAUACAAAAUAUAGUUAAUCCUGUUGUUUAUCGGUUCUGUUCUUGUUUCCAUAUAUCAGACCAGUAACCUACAAUAUAACAAACCAUUGAUAACUUAUAAAUAACAUCCUAAGGAACGCAAAUGACUGAUUGAUUUUUUUUGUAGACUGACCUGAGGAUCAGCGAUUGGUCUCCUCUUCUCGACGUAUUCAUUCGCAUCAGCCACCGCGAGAAGUGCCCUUGCCUAAAUCAAACCAAAGAAGAAACUAAAAUAAGAGAUUCUUUUUUUUUUAGAGACCAUGAGUGUCGAGAUCGGUACCUGCUGUUCCUUUUUGAGAUCCUGAGCUGGUUUAACCCAAAGAUAGUAAGCGAUUGUUCCCGCGACGAGCCAAGAAGCGAGAUUCUGACCUCCUCUGAGUCCACCCAUGGAGUUUCCCACGAACGACCUCACGUUCCCCAUUGAUCUUCUCCAGUCGCUACCCAUUUGAUACCACUCUUUGAUCUCUUCAGUCACUUUGAUGGAUGAUUCGAUUUGUGAAUUAGAAAAGUAAAGCUUUGAUUUGGUCUGAUUCUAAUUUGCUUGGUGCCCACUGCGAAUACUAAACCGGGGUCGUCGAGACCGGUUAGUGGUGGCAAUUCAGCAAUCUGUGUUUUGUUUGUGAUUUGAACAUCGUGCGUCUGUAAUUUCUCCACGUAGCAUUAGGAGAUCUGAUCUAAUAUAUGGGCUGGAUAAAAUUGUUAGGCACAUCGACUUUGAAUAAGGUAGCUGUAGUAAAACCCACCUCGAUACAUAAUUUUUUUGGAAAAUGGAGGACGUUAGUACUAAUUUUCAUGAGAAUUCUUGGAAAAUGUCCGACAUUAGUACUACAGUAAAACCCACCUCGAUAAAUAAUUAUUUUGGAAAAUGUCGGACAUUAGUACUAAUUUUCAUGAGAAAGGACUAACAAUACUCAAUAGACCAGACACAGGCCAUAACCGAAUCCGGUUAUAGUAAGGGUGGUGUGUUGGUUGUGUACCCCUCUGAUUUUCUUGAAGAUGAAUGACUUGAAUACGCUUGAAUACGCGAUGAGGAUCCAGAAAAGCCCAAAGUAUUAAUGAUGAUAAUUUAUGAGUUGACUAAAUGAAUUGGGUUUGAGAUAACUCAGCAUACAGGUUUAUCAUGAUCAUCGUCCCGCCCCGCCCCGCAGUUAACAGUAACAAAAAUCUCUACAUAUACUAUAUAUCUAUAUAUUUUUAUAACUGUUAGAACCAUACUGCAAUUGAACCGCUUGUCCCGCACUAUAAAAUGAGAGAUAUAAACUAGAAACAUAAAGUUAAUUAUACAUAUGUUCGGUUAUCUUCGGAUAUCCAUUCGGGUUCGGGUAUUAUCCGUUCGGGUUCGGGUAUCCAAUCUCUCCUUAUUCAAUACCCGUUCGGGUAUUUUGCUACUUCGGUUCGGAUUUCGGUUCGGUUUUUUCGGAUCGGGUUCGGAUGCCACUUCGGGUAUCGGGUAAAGUGCCCACCCCUAUAACACACUACAUAGAGACAGCCACGAGUCUCUCCAUAAUAGAACACUUGUGUCGGCAAAAGCUACGAGUCACACUUCUCUCUUAUUACGCUUUUGUCGUAAAAAAGAAAAAAAAAAAAUUUUGAAACCGAAACGGUGCGUUUCGUUUCACCGGCGCCGGAAACAAUGAGGAAGGAGAUUCUGCCGCCGGUGUCCACCACCACCGUCUGUUUAGAGAAUAAGCCACUGGUCGCUACAUUGCUAGCUCUCUCCCUCGUCAUGAUCAUCUGGAACCUUCCACCUUACUACCACAACCUCAUCUCCACCGCUCCUCCCUGCUCCGCCUCUCCCACCACCACCGCCACCACCAUACUCUCCUCCUCCUCCUCAUUUUCUCCACCUGAGAAUUUCGCCACCUCUCUCUCCGCCACGCCGGCAACUUCUCCUCCGUCAGAUCCGAACAAACGCGUUUUCCAACCGUUCGGAAACGCGGCGGCGCUGUUCGUCCUCAUGGGAGCUUACCGCGGCGGUCCAUCAUCCUUCUCCGUCGUCGGACUCGCC